GCCGCGAAUACUGGAGAGAUUCUUUAUGAAUUGUACGAACCUUCGACCAGCAGAAAAUUUCGCGAUGAAAUUCGUGAUUUUAUAUUUCAAUUAAUUCAAAAUCAUUUAAAGUUUACCGCUUGCGGAUUUUACGAUCUAAAUAAUACGCUUAUAUACAAUGUGAUCGGUUCGAUUACUACUUACCUCGUCAUAUUUAUUCAAGUUGGAGGUAAACCUGAAAUAUUCUACAAUAAUACUAUUUACAAUACAACGUCGACGACAUAAUGAAUGAACCGGAAUAUUUCUUUAUUCGAAAAUUUAUCGUACGUAAUAAACAAUAUUUUAUAUAAUAUUAUA